rnacentral:rRNA from 1 species
CCUUCCGUAGGGUGAACCUGCGGAAGGAUCAUUACUGAUUUGCUUAAUUGCACCACAUGUGUUUUUUAUUGAACAAAUUUCUUUGGUGGCGGGAGCAAUCCUACCGCCAGAGGUUAUAACUAAACCAAACUUUUUAUUUACAGUCAAACUUGAUUUAUUAUUACAAUAGUCAAAACUUUCAACAACGGAUCUCUUGGUUCUCGCAUCGAUGAAGAACGCAGCGAAAUGCGAUACGUAAUAUGAAUUGCAGAUAUUCGUGAAUCAUCGAAUCUUUGAACGCACAUUGCGCCCUUUGGUAUUCCAAAGGGCAUGCCUGUUUGAGCGUCAUUUCUCCCUCAAACCCCCGGGUUUGGUGUUGAGCAAUACGCUAGGUUUGUUUGAAAGAAUUUAACGUGGAAACUUAUUUUAAGCGACUUAGGUUUAUCCAAAAACGCUUAUUUUGCUAGUGGCCACCACAAUUUAUUUCAUAACUUUGACCUCAAAUCAGGUAGGACUACCCGCUGAACUUAAGCAUAUCAAUAAGCGGAGGAAAA